GGUCAUAUUUUUCCACAGCUUUCUUGAACUUUCUUUUUCAUAUCCCAUUUUUUCUUAAAUUCUCCGACAUUUAGCACUCUGGUAACAAAAAAAGGGAAGCUCAAGAAAGCUGUGGGAAAACAUGACAA
rfam:Arabis alpina cultivar Pajares chromosome 6, whole genome shotgun sequence.